rnacentral:rRNA from 1 species
GAUGAACGCUGGCGGCGUGCCUAACACAUGCAAGUCGAGCGAUCUUCUUCGGAAGAGAGCGGCGGACGGGUGAGUAACGCGUGGGUAACCUGCCCUGUACACACGGAUAACAUACCGAAAGGUAUGCUAAUACGGGAUAACAUACUUUUAUCGCAUGGUAGAAGUAUCAAAGCUCCGGCGGUACAGGAUGGACCCGCGUCUGAUUAGCUAGUUGGUAAGGUAACGGCUUACCAAGGCGACGAUCAGUAGCCGACCUGAGAGGGUGAUCGGCCACAUUGGAACUGAGACACGGUCCAAACUCCUACGGGAGGCAGCAGUGGGGAAUAUUGCACAAUGGGCGAAAGCCUGAUGCAGCAACGCCGCGUGAGCGAUGAAGGCCUUCGGGUCGUAAAGCUCUGUCCUCAAGGAAGAUAAUGACGGUACUUGAGGAGGAAGCCCCGGCUAACUACGUG